rnacentral:rRNA from 1 species
UACGAAGGGGGCUAGCGUUGCUCGGAAUCACUGGGCGUAAAGGGCGCGUAGGCGGAUUGUUAAGUCAGAGGUGAAAGCCCAGGGCUCAACCCUGGAAUUGCCUUUGAUACUGGCAAUCUUGAGACCGGAAGAGGUUAGUGGAACUGCGAGUGUAGAGGUGAAAUUCGUAGAUAUUCGCAAGAACACCAGUGGCGAAGGCGGCUUACUGGUCCGGUUCUGACGCUGAGGCGCGAAAGCGUGGGGAGCAAACAGG